UUACAGGUCACAACCAUUUACAAGGCAACAGAAAGUAUUUAUGGCUAGACUGGGUGAAUACGUAGCGUGCGGCAUGUCACACUGGGACGGAGAUUACGUCUUGGAUGAAGAGCUCCAGAUAAAAUGGUGCAAACCCACCAGAAUAAGAAACGCUGAAGUGAAUGGAACAGAAUUACGAGAACUGACCGAAAAAAUCAUUUUCUACUCAAGAUUUUCAGCUUUAGUUCUGCUCACAUUCCUUGCCUUUAUUAUCAUCGCUGCCGUAAGUUGCUGGGAUUGUAGAACAAGAUGUCUGGAGCAUCAAGAAAAGCAGAAUAAGCCAACACAACUAUCAGAGUCAUCCAUCUACGGCUCAGAGGUUGAACUACAGCGAUCCAUAUGAAAACAUCAGGGAGAUCUGCAUAAAAAUGUGUCUCUGUUAAGACUGCAAAGAAAAACAACUUGAAUGACGGAUUCUGAAUGCACAAAUCAGCAUUAGUAAUUGAGAUUGACAGAAUCAGCUGACCAAUCUAAAGCGCCAGAAGAGUGAAAGUAAAAAUGUGAAAAAAGUGAAAGAACAACUAACUACACCUACCUGGAUGCAACACUAUCACCUGUAUGAAGGAUCUAAUUAUUGCGCCCUGUGGACGAAAAUAUAGACAUUUCCAGAAACGAUAAGAGAGGAACAGCCGAAAUUUCGUGAGAUCGAGAAUUCCUAAGGCUUUGGAGAUGCAACUAAAAACUUUUUUUAAAGCAGCGGUUAAGCUGAUUUCCAAGAAAAAUGCCUUCACCUCUGUUCCAUUGAGUUUUAUGUUGUUGGGUUUGCAGGAGUUGAUUGAUGUCCACUUCUCAUGCCCGUGCAAAGUUAAGUGGAACUCACUUAUAACAGGUUUCCUCUUCAUUGUACCCGCUCUCUUUGCUUUUGUCAUAAUGUUCAUGCUUUUGAGGCCUUGUAAAUAUAAACGCAGCCGUUCUCAAAGACAGAAAAGUGUUGGAAGAGCGCAAGGUCAGGGCAACAAAGAAGCCUCUCAAGAGCGAGACGAAAGUGGAGAAUCUCAAGAACAGGACAAAAGUGCAAUACAUCAGUUUGAUGAAGCGAGGCAGAGUUUCCCAACAGUUUUGAUGGCUUGCCUGAUUCCACCGAUUGUGUGGAUCUGUAUAUUUUUCAUUGACGGAGAUUAUCUUGCAUGUGGAUUCACAGACUGGAAUGGACGGUACGCCUGCGACAAGGACCUGCAUCCGAUUUGCUUGAACUGGUGCAAGCCUACUGACUUAAACCAAAGAGAAAAUCAGACCGAGCUUUAUGAACGAACAAGGGAGUUGAUUGAUCAGUCAAAGUGUGUAGGUUAUAGCCUGGCGUUCGUCUUCUGCAUUAUAACAAUUAUUAUCGUGACCGCUAACGACUGCAACCGAGGUCGCAUUUCAGCCUGCUGCAGAAGCGCAGAUCCAAAGAGAGAAGGAGAGGAGCGGCGUGAUGUGCUGGCAAACUUACUCAGGAAACAAAGUGAGGAGCAUGAGUUCAAGCUUCAAGAUGACGGCUCACACAGACAUCCAAGUCAAGCUGCAGAAAUAGAAGAAAAAGUUUAGAUCAAUCCCAGAUCACAUGUUGUCUACACUAUAUACUCUAUCACACUGAAAUAUAACAAUUCAAUAGUACAUUUUCUAUUAUGCAUUAUGAAUUCAUCUCUUACUUGUAUGUGUUGGGCGACAUUUUGAGUUUCUCGUAUAACUUUAUCUUGUUUGUAUCAUUGCAGACCGAGCGGGAGCUAUGUGAAUUAUUAUGGGGGUGUUGAUGUUGUCCCAGCAUGUUUGCGUUUGUAAAUGUUUCUACAAUAUGACAAAAAAAAGUGAAAAUGAAAACAUUCAUAAACUGUAAGUGUAUAGUAAGUGUUGAGAGGGCAUUGACAAUGCAAAAAGCCAACAAUUCCUUUAGAUUUUCACUUUAUAAUGUGAAAGUGAAACAAAAUGUAGCAAUGCAAUGUUGGCUAAUAACUCGAGAGCUUGAGAUCUUGAGAAUGUAGAUGACGCAUACAGGCAUUUAAGGGCAAGAAGGAAAUAAUUCAGGUACCUGCCCAUGCAUGCUUUAAUAUAAAGUAUUUGACAAGUCAGGGAUCUGUGAAACACAAGAGACAGCAGAAUAGAUAGUCUAAACCACUUUCCAUUGCAUCACCGAUAACAAAUCUACGACUUUUUCUCCGUCUUCUUUUCCAACAACCACUUUGUUUUAAAGACAAAGACAAAAAAAAUAAAAACAAACGAAUAAAUGCGUUGUGUUGUCUAGCUCUUAAAAGAUGUCGUCACUGCAAAACUUUUCCAAGCACUUUAAAAGCUAUCUGAAUACAACUGCUGUUUUCACCACUUUUCCAUUAAGCCUUUUGUUAUUUGGAUUAGAGGCAUUGAUGGACACCCAGUUUUCGUGCCCGUGUGGAAAACUGUGGCAGAAGGAACUAACAAGCUUAAUGUUUGCUGCACCUCCUUGCUUUGCUUUUAUGAUAACGUUCCUCCUAACAAGACCUUUAAAAAACACCAACAUCUGCUGUUCUCUAGGACGCUUCUCCACGAGGUGUCCAGACAGAAAGAACAGAUGCAAUACUUUCUGUUUCUGUCUUAAAUCUUUCCUGCACUGCCUGAUUCCCCCCUUUGUUUGGGUACUGCUCUUGUUGUACGACGGUGAUUAUUUUGCCUGCGGUCGAUCGAACUGGGAAGGAGAGUACGUUUAUGAUGAAGUGCUGCUAACAAAAUGGUGCAAACCCACUGGAAAGGAUGCAGGCAGAGAGGCUUCUCUACGAGAUCUGACUAUUAUGAAUAUUGUAUUGUCAAAGAUGGCGAGUUACGCUCUAUUGAUUGUCUUCAGCAUUAUAACAGUCGUGGUAGUAGCUGUGUACGACUCGUGCAGAUGUGGAGAAAAAAAGCUGCUGCAGAAACCCAGAUUCUGAGCAUGAAAUCUUGGGGCAGGGGAAUGAACUGUCUUUGGAAAUUUAAUGCAUAAUUGUUCUGAAUAAGUACGAGAGGAAACAUGGUAACAUGGUAAUGCGAUUGUAGUAUAUUUAACAUAUAGGCUACAUCAUGUCACAUAUUAUUGCUUGUAUUGUACUUUUUUAUUAUCCUUUUUUAUUUGUACGAUGGCAUUAAAAAGGUCAAGUUUAACAAAAAUAAAUGGGUUCAUUUUUAA